GCAUUACUAGCUUAAUUGGUUAAAGCCUAUCAAUGUCACUGAUAGUGAUGCCAGUUCAACUCUGGUGUAAUGCG
rnacentral:tRNA from 1 species